rnacentral:rRNA from 1 species
UACGUAGGGACCGAGCGUUGUCCGGAUUCAUUGGGCGUAAAGAGCUCGUAGGCGGUUUGUCGCGUCUGCCGUGAAAGUCCGGGGCUCAACUCCGGAUCUGCGGUGGGUACGGGCAGACUAGAGUGAUGUAGGGGAGACUGGAAUUCCUGGUGUAGCGGUGAAAUGCGCAGAUAUCAGGAGGAACACCGAUGGCGAAGGCGGGUCUCUGGGCCGAUACUGACGCUGAGGAGCGAAAGCGUGGGGAGCGAACAGG